rnacentral:rRNA from 1 species
CCUACGGGUGGCAGCAGUGGGGAAUAUUGCGCAAUGGGGGAAACCCUGACGCAGCAACGCCGCGUGAGUGAAGACGUAUCUCGGUAUGUAAAGCUCUAUCAGCGGGGAAGAAGGAAGACGGUACCCGACUAAGAAGCCCCGGCUAACUACGUGCCAGCAGCCGCGGUAAUACGUAGGGGGCGAGCGUUAUCCGGAUUUACUGGGUGUAAAGGGAGCGUAGACGGCGUCGCAAGUCUGAAGUGAAAGCCCGUGGCUCAACCGCGGAACCGCUUUGGAAACUGCGUGGCUGGAGUGCUGGAGAGGUAAGCGGAAUUCCUGGUGUAGCGGUGAAAUGCGUAGAUAUAUGGAAGAACACCAGUGGCGAAGGCGGCCGCCUGGCCUGUUAACUGACGCUGAGGCACGAAAGCGUGGGGAGCAAAUAGGAUUAGAUACCCUAGUAGUC